ACACCGGCGGCCCGAGUGGUGGCCACUCUUAUUGGGCUUAAAGCGUCCGUAGCCGGUCUGGUAAGUCUUCCGGGAAAUCUGGCGGCUUAACCGUCAGGCUUCCGGAAGAUACUGCCAGACUUGGGACCGGGAGAGGCCGAGGGUACUCCCGGGGUAGGGGUGAAAUCCUGUAAUCCCAGGAGGACCACCUGUGGCGAAGGCGCUCAGCUUGAACGGGUCCGACGGUGAGGGACGAAAGCUGGGGGCGCGAACCGGAUUAGAUACCCUAGUAGUCC
rnacentral:rRNA from 1 species